rnacentral:tRNA from 1 species
GCGUUCGUGGUAUAGUGGUAGAAUAUUAGCCUUCCAAGCUAAUGACCCGGGUUCGAGUCCCGGCGGACGCACCA